rnacentral:rRNA from 1 species
ACCCCACUGCUAUCGGGAUAGGACUAAGACAUGCUAGUCGUGCGCUUCCUAGCCAAUUUGGGAGCGCGGCACACAGCUCAGUAACACGUGGCUAACCUGCCCUUGGGACCAGAACACCCCCGGGAAACUGGGGCUAAUUCUCGAUAGGUGAAGAACUCUGGAAUGAGUCUUCGCUUAAAAGGGGCUGGGGUUAUGCUCUCCAGUUUCGCCCAAGGAUGGGGCCGCGACCGAUCAGGUUGUUGGUGAGGUAAUGGCUCACCAAGCCUUUUACCGGUGCGGGCCGUGAGAGCGGGAGCCCGGAGAUGGGCACUGAGACAAGGGCCCAGGCCCUACGGGGCGCAGCAGUCGCGAAAACUUUGCAAUACACGAAAGUGUGACAGGGCUAUCCCGAGUGCCAUCCGCUGAGGAAGGCUUUUACCCAGUCUAGAACGCUGGGGGAAUAAGGAGAGGGCAAGUCUGGUGUCAGCCGCCGCGGUAAUACCAGCUCUCCGAGUGGUGUGGAUGUUUAUUGGGCCUAAAGCAUCCGUAGCUGGCUGAGUUAGUCCCUUGUUAAAUCCACCGAAUUAAUCGUUGGAUUGCGGGGGAUACUGCUCGGCUAGGGGACGAGAGAGGCAGACGGUAUUUCCGGGGUAGGGGUGAAAUCCUAUAAUCCCGGGAAGACCACCAGUGGCGAAGGCUGUCUGCUAGAACGCGCCCGACGGUGAGGGAUGAAAGCUGGGGGAGCGAACCGGAUUAGAUGCCCGGGUAGUCCCAGCUGUAAACGAUGCAGGCUAGGUGUUUGGACGGCCACGUGCCGUUCUAGUGCCGCAGGGAAGCUGUUAAGCCUGCCGCCUGGGGAGUACGAUCGCAAGAUUGAAACUUAAAGGAAUUGGCGGGGGAGCACCACAAGGGGUGAAGCUUGCGGUUU